rnacentral:rRNA from 1 species
GAUUGAAACGGCUGGCGGAACAGCGUUACUACACUAGUCAAGACGACGACGGCAGCGGGCGGUCGACCUGGCGGCGAGCGGCGAACGGGUGAGUAACACAUCGGAACGUGCCCAGACGUGGGGGAUAGCCCGGCGAAAGCCGGAUUAAUACCGCAUGUGAUCUGAGGAUGAAAGUGGGGGACCGCAAGGCCUCACGCGUUUGGAGCGGCCGAUGGCAGAUUAGGUAGUUGGUGGGGUAAAGGCUUACCAAGCCUGCGAUCUGUAGCUGGUCUGAGAGGAUGAUCAGCCACACUGGGACUGAGACACGGCCCAGACUCCUACGGGAGGCAGCAGUGGGGAAUUUUGGACAAUGGGCGCAAGCCUGAUCCAGCCAUUCCGCGUGCAGGACGAAGGCCUUCGGGUUGUAAACUGCUUUUGUACGGAACGAAAGGGCUCUGGUUAAUACCUGGGGCAUAUGACGGUACCGUAAGAAUAAGCACCGGCUAACUACGUG